rnacentral:tRNA from 1 species
GCCGCCCUCUCAAGGCGGUAGCGCCGGUUCGAAUCCGGUCGGGGGUA